UACGUAGGGUGCAAGCGUUGUCCGGAAUUAUUGGGCGUAAAGAGCUCGUAGGCGGUCUGUCGCGUCUGCUGUGAAAACUCAGGGCUUAACCCUGAGCUUGCAGUGGGUACGGGCAGACUAGAGUGCGGUAGGGGAGACUGGAAUUCCUGGUGUAGCGGUGAAAUGCGUAGAUAUCGGGAGGAACACCAGUGGCGAAGGCGACUACCUGGCCUGUUCUUGACGCUGAGGCGCGAAAGCUAGGGGAGCAAACGGG
rnacentral:rRNA from 1 species